rnacentral:rRNA from 1 species
GACGAACGCUGGCGGCGUGCCUAAUACAUGCAAGUCGAACGCAGUGGGGACGGGUUAGUAACACGUGGGUAACCUCCCAUCAGACGGAUAACACUUGGAAACAUGUGCUAUACCGACACUGAUGUUUGCACCCGCGUGGCAUCAGCUAGCUGGCGAGGUAACGGCCCACCAAGGCCACGAUGCAUAGCCGACCGGAGAGGGUGAUCAGCCACACUGGAACUGAGACACGGCCCAGACUCCUACGGGAGGCAGCAGUAGGGAAUAUGGGGCAAUGGACGAAAGUCUGACCGAGCCACGCCGCGUGAGUGAAGAAGGUUUUCGGGUCGUAAAACGCUGUUGUUAGAGAGGCGGUAUCUAACCAGAAAGCCACGGCUAACUACGUGCCAGCAGCCGCGGUAAUUC